AUCCAGGUGAUGAGUCUCAACAUAGGACGAAACACGCGUCCUGUAC
rnacentral:hammerhead_ribozyme from 1 species